rnacentral:rRNA from 1 species
CCCGAGGAAAAGAAAUCAACCGAGAUUCCCCCAGUAGCGGCGAGCGAACGGGGAGGAGCCCAGAGCCUGAAUCAGCAUGUGUGUUAGUGGAAGCGUCUGGAAAGGCGCGCGAUACAGGGUGACAGCCCCGUACACAAAAGCGCAUGUGCUGUGAGCUCGAUGAGUAGGGCGGGACACGUGGUAUCCUGUCUGAAUAUGGGGGGACCAUCCUCCAAGGCUAAAUACUCCUGACUGACCGAUAGUGAACCAGUACCGUGAGGGAAAGGCGAAAAGAACCCCGGCGAGGGGAGUGAAAAAGAACCUGAAACCGUGUACGUACAAGCAGUGGGAGCACAGGUUUACCUGUGUGACUGCGUACCUUUUGUAUAAUGGGUCAGCGACUUAUAUUCUGUAGCAAGGUUAACCGUAUAGGGGAGCCGGAGGGAAACCGAGUCUUAACCGGGCGUUAAGUUGCAGGGUAUAGACCCGAAACCCGGUGAUCUAGCCAUGGGCAGGUUGAAGGUUGGGUAACACUAACUGGAGGACCGAACCGACUAAUGUUGAAAAAUUAGCGGAUGACCUGUGGCUGGGGGUGAAAGGCCAAUCAAACCGGGAGAUAGCUGGUUCUCCCCGAAAGCUAUUUAGGUAGCGCCUCGUGAAUUCAUCUCCGGGGGUAGAGCACUGUUUCGGCUAGGGGGCCAUCCCGGCUUACCAACCCGAUGCAAACUGCGAAUACCGGAGAAUGUUAUCACGGGAGACACACGGCGGGUGCUAAC